UACGUAGGGUCCGAGCGUUUGUCCGGAAUUACUGGGCGUAAAGAGCUCGUAGGUGGUUUGUCGCGUUGUCCGUGAAAACUCACAGCUCAACUGUGGGCGUGCGGGCGAUACGGGCAGACUGGAGUACUGCAGGGGAGACUGGAAUUCCUGGUGUAGCGGUGGGAAUGCGCAGAUAUCAGGAGGAACACCGGUGGCGAAGGCGGGGUCUCUGGGCAGUAACUGACGCUGGAGGAGCGAAAAGCGUGGGGGAGCGAACAGG
rnacentral:rRNA from 1 species